AUGUAAGUGGUUGAUUAUCGAACGCCUUUGACUGUCGAUAAUGGUGCAUUGAAUUUAUCGAAGGACUACGACUGUCGGUAUAAACAUCAACUCAAUGAAAUGAGAAUUUGGGAUUUCCCUCUCCCAUUCUCCUAAUUUUUAUUUUUGCACAAGCUUUCCCCAAUUCUUCCUCUCUCACUUUAGAACCCCCCAAGUAUCGCAUCUUCCUCUCUCGUUCAGAACCCCAAAGCUUAACUCCUUUUUUUUUGCAAUCGUUGUGUCAACGUCAGGAUAGUGUUGGUGAAGAGGGUGGUGGUUGACGGAUUACAUUGUUGCGAGAGAGCUAUUCGAAGGUGUUUGCUGACGAGCUUGUUGUCGCGGCCUGAUGACGGUGUUGUGGCGACCUGACGACGAUGUUUUCGUGGUGUGAUGACAGUAUUGUGUCGGCGUGACGACGGUGCUAUGGCGACGUGACGACGGUGUUUUGGCGGCGUGACCAGGGCUUCCACUAUCCAGGGUGAGGCUAAUGUAGGGGUCUGUGACGAGGUUAGGUUGAGAAGGAAUUGGAAUAGAGUCUUGGGAGCAGACGUGACUAGGCAAGGAAGGCAAAGCCCAAGAAUUAAGAAUUUGCUUUAUCAAGGAAUUGAAAAUUGUGAAUGUUUAAGUUGGAGUGAAAUCAAGAGAGAAAGUUGCUCCCACAUUCAUUGUUUUGGGGUUUCGAUCAGGGACACAAAACAUUUGGAAGCUUCGAACACAGUGGGUUAAAGUUGGUUGCAAAAGUCUCAUUGUUGAAGGGCUGCACUCAAGUGUCAAAGACUUCAUCAUUUCCAGAGGAGGUACUCUGAAGCACCAACCUUCUUCUUCCACCACUACUACUGACAAAGCCAUCGAGCGCUUGACACAACUACUACAACAACGUGACCAGAAAAAUCGUGAUUUGAGAGAAGAAUAUAGUGACUUGAGAAACGAGUUUACAAACUUCAAGUCCCUGGUCAUGAGAGCGUUUCCUGAUGCUUCAGACAUUCAUUCCACCAUCCCUUCGACCUAGCCACGACCCUCAUCGUCACCCGCCGUCCCUCAACAGCCCACAUCAGUCCAGCUUACAUCAAUCCAGCCCACACCAGUCCAGCCAUCUACAUGGCAACAGGAUGAUGAAAAUCAUUCUGAUGAUGACUAUGUAGAUUAUUAGUUUUAUUUUGUUAUUGAACAUAGUUGUUAGAACAUUUG